UGGCUCAGUGGUAGAGUGCUUGCCUCGCAUGCAUGAGGCUCUGGGUUCGAUUCCUCAG
rnacentral:tRNA from 1 species